rnacentral:rRNA from 1 species
AUUGAACGCUGGCGGCAUGCCUUACACAUGCAAGUCGAACGGUAACGCGGGGCAACCUGGCGACGAGUGGCGAACGGGUGAGUAAUGUAUCGGAACGUGCCCAGUUGUGGGGGAUAACUGCUCGAAAGAGCAGCUAAUACCGCAUACGACCUGAGGGUGAAAGGGGGGGAUCGCAAGACCUCUCGCUAUCGGAGCGGCCGAUGUCGGAUUAGCUAGUUGGUGGGGUAAAGGCCUACCAAGGCGACGAUCCGUAGCUGGUCUGAGAGGACGACCAGCCACACUGGGACUGAGACACGGCCCAGACUCCUACGGGAGGCAGCAGUGGGGAAUUUUGGACAAUGGACGCGAGUCUGAUCCAGCCAUGCCGCGUGCGGGAAGAAGGCCUUCGGGUUGUAAACCGCUUUUGUCAGGGAAGAAAUCUUCUGAGUUAAUACCUCGGAAGGAUGACGGUACCUGAAGAAUAAGCACCGGCUAACUACGUGCCAGCCGCCGCGGUAAAAC